CAGUAGCCGCGGUAAUACGAAGGGUGCAAGCGUUACUCGGAAUUACUGGGCGUAAAGCGUGCGUAGGUGGUGGUUUAAGUCCGUUGUGAAAGCCCUGGGCUCAACCUGGGAAUUGCAGUGGAUACUGGAUCACCAGAGUGUGGUAGAGGAUAGUGGAAUUUCCGGUGUAGCAGUGAAAUGCGUAGAGAUCGGAAGGAACAUCUGUGGCGAAGGCGACUAUCUGGGCCAACACUGACACUGAGGCACGAAAGCGUGGGGAGCAAACAGGAUUAGAUACCCCCGUAGUCCCUGUCUCUUAUAA
rnacentral:rRNA from 1 species